rnacentral:rRNA from 1 species
ACUUGGGAAUUGCAUCUGAAACUGCUUUGCUUGAGUCCUGGAUGGGGUAGUGGAAUUCCCAGUGUAGCGGUGAAAUGCGUAGAUAUUGGGAGGAACACCGGUGGCGAAGGCGGCUACCUGGACAGUGACUGACGCUGAGGCGCGAAAGCUAGGGGAGCGAACGGGAUUAGAUACCCCGGUAGUCCUAGCCGUAAACGAUGGGCACUUGGUGUUGGGGGUAUUGAGUCCCCCGGUGCCGGAGUUAACACGUUAAGUGCCCCGCCUGGGGAGUACGGUCGCAAGACUGAAACUCAAAGGAAUUGACGGGGGCCCGCACAAGCGGUGGAGCAUGUGGUUCAAUUCGACGCAACGCGAAGAACCUUACCUGGGCUAGACAACGGUGGACCGUCCUAGAAAUAGGAUUUUCCCUUC